rnacentral:snRNA from 1 species
GUCCCUUCGGAGACAUCCGAUAAAACUAGAACGAUACAGAGAAGAUUAGCAUGGCCCUUGCGCAAGAAUGACACGCACAAAUCGAGGGAAAAAUUAUUUUUAU